UACGGGGGGGGCAAGCGUUGUUCGGAAUUACUGGGCGUAAAGGGCUCGUAGGUGGCCAACUAAGUCAGACGUGAAAUCCCCAGGCUUAACCUGGGAACUGCGUCUGAUACUGGAUGGCUUGAAUUCGGGAGAGGGAUGCAGAAUUCCAGGUGUAGCGGUGAAAUGCGUAGAUAUCUGGAGGAACACCGGUGGCGAAGGCGGAUCUCUGGGCCUUACCUGACGCUCAGGCGCGAAAGCUAGGGGAGCAAACGGG
rnacentral:rRNA from 1 species